rnacentral:rRNA from 1 species
CCUACGGGAGACAGCAGUGAGGAAUAUUGGUCAAUGGACGGAAGUCUGAACCAGCCAUGCCGCGUGCAGGAAGACGGCUCUAUGAGUUGUAAACUGCUUUUGUACAAGGGUAAACCUGAAUACGUGUAUUCAGCUGACAGUACCGUACGAAUAAGGAUCGGCUAACUCCGUGCCAGCAGCCGCGGUAAUACGGAGGAUCCAAGCGUUAUCCGGAUUUAUUGGGUUUAAAGGGUGCGUAGGCGGAUUGAUAAGUUAGAGGUGAAAUGUCCGGGCUCAACUCGGGAACUGCCUCUAAUACUGGUGAUCUAGAGAGUAGGUGCGGUAGGCGGAAUGUAUGGUGUAGCGGUGAAAUGCUUAGAGAUCAGACAGAACACCGAUUGCGAAGGCAGCUUAC